rfam:Nomascus leucogenys chromosome 17, whole genome shotgun sequence.
GUUUCCGUAGUGUAGCGGUUAUCACGUUCGCCUCACACGCGAAAGGUCCUCGGUUCGAUCCCGGGCGGAAACA